rnacentral:rRNA from 1 species
CCUACGGGAGGCAGCAGUGAGGAAUAUUGGUCAAUGGGCGAGAGCCUGAACCAGCCAAGUAGCGUGAAGGAUGACUGCCCUAUGGGUUGUAAACUUCUUUUAUAGGGGAAUAAAGUGCCGUACGCGUACGUUUUUGUAUGUACCCUAUGAAUAAGCAUCGGCUAAUUCCGUGCCAGCAGCCGCGGUAAU